rnacentral:rRNA from 1 species
UACGGGAGGCAGCAGUGGGGAAUAUUGCACAAUGGGCGCAAGCCUGAUGCAGCCAUGCCGCGUGUAUGAAGAAGGCCUUCGGGUUGUAAAGUACUUUCAGUCGUGAGGAAGGUGUUAAGGUUAAUAACCUUAGCAAUUGACGUUAGCGACAGAAGAAGCACCGGCUAACUCCGUGCCAGCAGCCGCGGUAAUACGGAGGGUGCGAGCGUUAAUCGGAAUUACUGGGCGUAAAGGGCACGCAGGCGGUUAAUUAAGUUGGAUGUGAAAUCCCCGGGCUUAACCUGGGAAUGGCAUUCAAGACUGGUUAGCUAGAGUCUUGUAGAGGGGGUAGAAUUCCAUGUGUAGCGGUGAAAUGCGUAGAGAUGUGGAGGAAUACCGGUGGCGAAGGCGGCCCCCUGGACGAAAGACUGACGCUCAUGUGCGAAAGCGUGGGGAGCAAACAGGGAUUAGAUACC